rnacentral:rRNA from 1 species
AAUUCGAUUGAGUUUGAUCAUGGCUCAGGAUGAACGCUGGCGGUAUGCUUUACACAUGCAAGUCGAACGCAAGUUUUUAACUUGAGUGGCGGACGGGUGAGUAACACGUGAGAAUUCGCCUUUAGGCGGGGAAUAACCAUCGGAAACAAUGGCUAAUGCCCCAUAUGCUCGCAAGAGUGAAAGGAGUAAUCCACCCAAAGAGAAGCUCGCGGCUGAUUAGCUAGUUGGUAAGGUAAUGGCUUACCAAGGCGACGAUCAGUAGCUGGUUUGAGAGAACGAUCAGCCACACUGGAACUGAGACACGGUCCAGACUCCUACGGGAGGCAGCAGUGGGGAAUUUUCCGCAAUGGGCGAAAGCCUGACGGAGCAAUACCGCGUGAGGGAUGAAGGCCUUUGGGUUGUAAACCUCUUUUAUCAAGGAGGAAGUUCUGACGUGUACUUGAUGAAUAAGCAUCGGCUAACUCCGUGCCAGCAGCCGCGGUAAGACGGAGGAUGCAAGUGUUAUCCGGAAUCACUGGGCGUAAAGCGUCUGUAGGUGGUUUAAAAAGUCCACUGUUAAAGAUUGAAGCUUAACUUCAAAAAUGCCGUGGAAACUUUUAAACUUGAGUAUGAUAGGGGUAGAGGGAAUUUCCAGUGGAGCGGUGAAAUGCGUAGAUAUUGNAAAGACCACCAAUGGCGAAGGCACUCUACUGGGCCAUUACUGACACUGAGAGACGAAAGCUAGGGGAGCAAAUGGGAUUAGAUACCCCAGUAGUCCUAGCUGUAAACGAUGGAUACUA